rnacentral:rRNA from 1 species
UACAGAGGAGCCAAGCGUUGUCCGGAUUGACUGGGCGUAAAGCGCACGCAGGCGGUCGGGCGCGUGGGGUGUGAAAUCUGGCCGCUUAACGGCCAGGCGCCAUCCCAUACGGCCGGACUGGAGUGAUGCAGAGGUCGGUGGAAUUGCCGGUGUAGUGGUGAAAUGCGUAGAGAUCCGGAGGAACACCCGUGGUGUAGACGGCCUGCUGGACGGCCACUGACGCUGAGGCACGAAAGCGUGGGGAGCGAACAGG